CCUACGGGUGGCAGCAGUGGGGAAUAUUGGGCAAUGGGCGCAAGCCUGACCCAGCAACGCCGCGUGAAGGAAGAAGGCUUUCGGGUUGUAAACUUCUUUUCUCAGGGACGAAGCAAGUGACGGUACCUGAGGAAUAAGCCACGGCUAACUACGUGCCAGCAGCCGCGGUAAUACGUAGGUGGCAAGCGUUAUCCGGAUUUACUGGGUGUAAAGGGCGUGUAGGCGGGAAAGCAAGUCAGAUGUGAAAACCAUGGGCUCAACCUGUGGCCUGCAUUUGAAAAUGUUUUUCUUGAGUACUGGAGAGGCAGACGGAAUUCCUAGUGUAGCGGUGAAAUGCGUAGAGAUUAGGAGGAACACCAGUGGCGAAGGCGGUCUGCUGGACAGCAACUGACGCUGAGGCGCGAAAGCGUGGGGAGCAAACAGGAUUAGAUACCCCUGUAGUC
rnacentral:rRNA from 1 species